rnacentral:rRNA from 1 species
AUUGAACGCUGGCGGCAUGCCUUACACAUGCAAGUCGAACGGCAGCAUGGAGAGCUUGCUCUCUGAUGGCGAGUGGCGAACGGGUGAGUAAUGCAUCGGAACGUACCGUGUAAUGGGGGAUAACGUAGCGAAAGUUACGCUAAUACCGCAUACGACCUGAGGGUGAAAGCAGGGGAUCGCAAGACCUUGCGUUAUACGAGCGGCCGAUGUCAGAUUAGCUAGUUGGUGAGGUAAAGGCUCACCAAGGCGACGAUCUGUAGCGGGUCUGAGAGGAUGAUCCGCCACACUGGGACUGGGACACGGCCCAGACUCCUACGGGAGGCAGCAGUGGGGAAUUUUGGACAAUGGGGGCAACCCUGAUCCAGCCAUGCCGCGUGAGUGAAGAAGGCCUUCGGGUUGUAAAGCUCUUUCGGCCGGGAAGAAAUCGCACAGGCUAAUACUCUGUGUGGAUGACGGUACCGGCAUAAGAAGCACCGGCUAACUACGUGCCAGCAGCCGCCGUAAUAC